rnacentral:rRNA from 1 species
AGAGUUUGAUCCUGGCUCAGAUUGAACGCUGGCGGCAGGCCUAACACAUGCAAGUCGAGCGGUAGAGAGAAGCUUGCUUCUCUUGAGAGCGGCGGACGGGUGAGUAAUGCCUAGGAAUCUGCCUGGUAGUGGGGGAUAACGUUCGGAAACGGACGCUAAUACCGCAUACGUCCUACGGGAGAAAGCAGGGGACCUUCGGGCCUUGCGCUAUCAGAUGAGCCUAGGUCGGAUUAGCUAGUUGGUGAGGUAAUGGCUCACCAAGGCGACGAUCCGUAACUGGUCUGAGAGGAUGAUCAGUCACACUGGAACUGAGACACGGUCCAGACUCCUACGGGAGGCAGCAGUGGGGAAUAUUGGACAAUGGGCGAAAGCCUGAUCCAGCCAUGCCGCGUGUGUGAAGAAGGUCUUCGGAUUGUAAAGCACUUUAAGUUGGGAGGAAGGGCAGUAAAUUAAUACUUUGCUGUUUUGACGUUACCGACAGAAUAAGCACCGGCUAACUCUGUGCCAGCAGCCGCGGUAAUACAGAGGGUGCAAGCGUUAAUCGGAAUUACUGGGCGUAAAGCGCGCGUAGGUGGUUUGUUAAGUUGGAUGUGAAAUCCCCGGGCUCAACCUGGGAACUGCAUUNCAAACUGACUGACUAGAGUAUGGUAGAGGGUGGUGGAAUUUCCUGUGUAGCGGUGAAAUGCGUAGAUAUAGGAAGGAACACCAGUGGCGAAGGCGACCACCUGGACUAAUACUGACACUGAGGUGCGAAAGCGUGGGGAGCAAACAGGAUUAGAUACCCUGGUAGUCCACGCCGUAAACGAUGUCAACUAGCCGUUGGAAGCCUUGAGCUUUUAGUGGCGCAGCUAACGCAUUAAGUUGACCGCCUGGGGAGUACGGCCGCAAGGUUAAAACUCAAAUGAAUUGACGGGGGCCCGCACAAGCGGUGGAGCAUGUGGUUUAAUUCGAAGCAACGCGAAGAACCUUACCAGGCCUUGACAUCCAAUGAACUUUCUAGAGAUAGAUUGGUGCCUUCGGGAACAUUGAGACAGGUGCUGCAUGGCUGUCGUCAGCUCGUGUCGUGAGAUGCUGGGUUAAGUCCCGUAACGAGCGCAACCCUUGUCCUUAGUUACCAGCACGUAAUGGUGGGCACUCUAAGGAGACUGCCGGUGACAAACCGGAGGAAGGUGGGGGUGACGUCAAGUCAUCAUGGCCCUUACGGCCUGGGCUACACACGUGCUACAAUGGUCGGUACAGAGGGUUGCCAAGCCGCGAGGUGGAGCUAAUCCCACAAAACCGAUCGUAGUCCGGAUCGCAGUCUGCAACUCGACUGCGUGAAGUCGGAAUCGCUAGUAAUCGCGUAUCAGAAUGUCGCGGUGAAUACGUUCCCGGGCCUUGCACUCACCGCCCGUC